rnacentral:misc_RNA from 1 species
ACUCCGUAGGUGAACCUGCGGAGGGAUCAUUACAGAGUUCAUGCCCUACCGGGUAGAUCUCCCACCCUAUGUUAUUAUUACUUUGUUGCUUUGGCGGGCCGUUAGGCUCCGGCCCGACUACCGGCCCCGGCUGGUAAGCGCCCGCCAGAGGACCCAAAACCCUGAAUAUUAGUGUCGUCUGAGUACUAUAUAAUAGUUAAAACUUUCAACAACGGAUCUCUUGGUUCUG